AAGGAAACAAUAAAGUUUUAUCAUAGCUUAACAAUUUUCUAUUAUAUAAAUUUACAUGUAAAUUUAAGUAAGAAUGAAAUAAAAUCUAAAAGAUAAUUUUUCAAUAAUAUUCUCAGUAUAUAAUAUUUUUAUUUUUUUAGUAAUAAAUAAAAGGUUAAUGUAAAUUAAUAGUUCUGGUGAAACUUGUGCCAGCAGCCGCGGUUACACAGGAAGGGCGAGAAAAUUAAAUAGGAAAAAGUUAAUUGAAAAAAUAUAUUAAUUUAAAUAUGAAUUUUUAGGUAAAAUUUUAAUUUAUAAAAAUUUUAAUUGAAUAGAUGAAUGAAACUUAAAAAAUUAAGAUAUAAACUAGGAUUAGAUACCCUAUUAUAAUAGACGUUAAAAAAAAUUACUCAGGUAGUAGUAGAUAAAAUCUUGAAACUUAAAGGAUUUGACGGUAAUUUAAACUAACUAGAGGAACUUGUCCCGUAAUCGAUAAUCCCCGUUAAACUUUACUUAAAAAUGUAGUCAGCUUAUAUACCGCCGUCAAAAAAUUAUAUUGAGAAAUAAUAAUUUAGAUUUAUAUAAAAAAUGUCAGGUCAAGGUGUAGCUAAUAUUUAAGAGGAGAUGAGUUACAAUAAACAUAUUUAAACGGAAAAUUAAUUGAAAAUUUAAUUAGAAGGUGGAUUUAGUAGUAAUUAGUAAUAUUAAAGAAUUAGUGAAUUUAGCUCUAAAUUAUGUACACAUCGCCCGUCGCUCUCAUUUAUUAAGGUGAGAUAAGUCGUAACAUAGUAGAUGUACUGGAAAGUGUAUCUAGAAAGUAA
rnacentral:ncRNA from 1 species